GAUCAUGGCUCAGAUUGAACGCUGGCGGCAGGCUUAACACAUGCAAGUCGAACGGUAACAUAAAGAAGCUUGCUUCUUUGAUGACGAGUGGCGGACGGGUGAGUAAUGCUUGGGAAUCUAGCUUAUGGAGGGGGGAUAACUACGGGAAACUGUAGCUAAUACCGCGUAGUAUCGAGAGAUGAAAGUGUGGGACCUUCGGGCCACAUGCCAUAGGAUGAGCCCAAGUGGGAUUAGGUAGUUGG
rnacentral:rRNA from 1 species